rnacentral:rRNA from 1 species
UACGUAGGGUGCGAGCGUUGUCCGGAAUUAUUGGGCGUAAAGAGCUCGUAGGCGGUGUGUCACGUCGGCCGUGAAAACCUGCAGCUUAACUGUGGGCGUGCGGUCGAUACGGGCAUCACUGGAGUUCGGCAGGGGAGACUGGAAUUCCUGGUGUAGCGGUGAAAUGCGCAGAUAUCAGGAGGAACACCGGUGGCGAAGGCGGGUCUCUGGGCCGAUACUGACGCUGGAGACGCGAAAGCGUGGGGAGCGAACAGG